rnacentral:rRNA from 1 species
UACGAAGGGGGCUAGCGUUGCUCGGAAUCACUGGGCGUAAAGCGCACGUAGGCGGAUCUUUAAGUCAGGGGUGAAAUCCUGGAGCUCAACUCCAGAACUGCCUUUGAUACUGAGAGACUUGAGUCCGGGAGAGGUGAGUGGAACUGCGAGUGUAGAGGUGAAAUUCGUAGAUAUUCGCAAGAACACCAGUGGCGAAGGCGGCUCACUGGCCCGGUACUGACGCUGAGGUGCGAAAGCGUGGGGAGCAAACAGG